rnacentral:rRNA from 1 species
AUUGAACGCUGGCGGCAGGCUUAACACAUGCAAGUCGAGCGGGGGAAGGUAGCUUGCUACCGGACCUAGCGGCGGACGGGUGAGUAAUGCUUAGGAAUCUGCCUAUUAGUGGGGGACAACAUCUCGAAAGGGAUGCUAAUACCGCAUACGUCCUACGGGAGAAAGCAGGGGAUCUUCGGACCUUGCGCUAAUAGAUGAGCCUAAGUCGGAUUAGCUAGUUGGUGGGGUAAAGGCCUACCAAGGCGACGAUCUGUAGCGGGUCUGAGAGGAUGAUCCUCCACACUGGAGCUGAGACACGGCCCAGACGCCUACGGGAGGCAGCAGUGGGGAAUAUUGGACAAUGGGGGGAACCCUGAUCCAGCCAUGACGCGUGUGUGAAGAAGGCCUUAUGGUUGUAAAGCACUUUAAGCGAGGAGGAGGCUACUUUAGUUAAUACCUAGAGAUAGUGGACGUUACUCGCAGAAUAAGCACCGGCUAACUCUGUGCCAGCCGCCGCAGUAA